AACGAACGCUGGCGGCGUGCCUAACACAUGCAAGUCGAGCGAGAAAGGGGUAGCAAUACCCCGAGUAAAGCGGCGCACGGGUGAGUAACACGUAGGUAGCCUACCUCUAAGACCGGGAUAACCCGUCGAAAGAUGGACUAAUACCAGAUAAGACCACAGUCCUUACGAGGACAGGGGUCAAAGAUGGCCUCUGCAUGCAAGCUAUCACUUAGAGAUGGGCCUGCGCACCAUUAGCUAGUUGGUAGGGUAACGGCCUACCAAGGCAAAGAUGGUUAGCUGGUCUGAGAGGAUGACCAGCCACACUGGAACUGAGACACGGUCCAGACUCCUACGGGAGGCAGCAGUGGGGAAUCUUGCGCAAUGGGCGAAAGCCUGACGCAGCAACGCCGUGUGGGUGGUGAAGGCCUUCGGGUCGUAAAGCCCUGUCGGAAGGAACGAAUGUUCCCGUCGUGAACAACGGCGGGAAGUGACGGUACCUUCAAAGGAAGCACCGGCUAACUCCGUGC
rnacentral:rRNA from 1 species